rnacentral:rRNA from 1 species
GAUCCUGGCUCAGGACGAACGCUGGCGGCGUGCUUAACACAUGCAAGUCGAACGAGAAUCUGCGGAUCGAGGAUUCGUCCAAGUGAAGCAGAGGACAGUGGCGGACGGGUGAGUAACGCGUGAGGAACCUGCCUUUCAGAGGGGGACAACAGUUGGAAACGACUGCUAAUACCGCAUGAUACGUUUUAGGGGCAUCCCUGAGACGUCAAAGAUUUAUCGCUGAAAGAUGGCCUCGCG